rnacentral:rRNA from 1 species
GACGAACGCUGGCGGCGUGCUUAACACAUGCAAGUCGAACGGAAAGGCCCUGCUUUUGUGGGGUGCUCGAGUGGCGAACGGGUGAGUAACACGUGAGUAACCUGCCCUUGACUUUGGGAUAACUUCAGGAAACUGGGGCUAAUACCGGAUAGGAGCUCCUGCUGCAUGGUGGGGGUUGGAAAGUUUCGGCGGUUGGGGAUGGUCUCGCGGCUUAUCAGCUUGUUGGUGGGGUAGUGGCUUACCAAGGCUUUGACGGGUAGCCGGCAUGAGAGGGUGACCGGCAAAAUUGGGACUGAGAUACGGCCCAGACUCAUACGGGAGGCAGCAGUGGGGAAUAUUGAAGAAUGGGCGGAAGCAUGAUGAAGCAACGCCGCGUGCGGGAUGACGGCCUUCGGGUUGUAAACAGAUUUCGCCUGUGACGAAGAGUGAGUGACGGUAAUGGGUAAAGAAGCACCGGCUAACUACGUG